UGGGUCUUGGCUCGGCCACUGGAAAGCCUCUACCCUAAUCCUAGAUGAUAGUGGCUGCCAGUUAUUGAGGGCCUGUCCUUAACCAGCUCCUCUGUCAACACACCCUGAUUGAACUCCUAUAACACUCCUGCAAGCCAGAUGCAGCGCAUCCAGUGGAUAAUUUGCAGGCCCUCACAGUUGGUGGAGCUUCAAGAUGGAAGGAGCCUGGGUCCCUGAAUGACUGAGUGGAGCAGAAUUCCCCCGACCCUGUCUCCCAUCCCAGCUUAAAGUCAGGACCGUCCACCACCUCUAUGGUGACCUGAAGAAUUCAGAACAGGCCAGGGUCAAUGAGGAGUCAACAGCCUCUAAGCCGGGUGACCCUUGGAAGACAGUCUGAGAGAACGGAG